ACGAACGCUGGCGGCGUGCUUAACACAUGCAAGUCGAGCGGUAAGGCCCUUUCGGGGGUACACGAGCGGCGAACGGGUGAGUAACACGUGGGUGACCUGCCCUCAGCUCUGGGAUAAGCCUGGGAAACCGGGUCUAAUACUGGAUAUGACUCCAUGACGCAUGUUGUGGGGUGGAAAGCCUUGUGCGGCUGAGGAUGGGCCCGCGGCCUAUCAGCUUGUUGGUGGGGNGAUGGCCUACCAAGGCGACGACGGGUAGCCGGCCUGAGAGGGCGACCGGCCACACUGGGACUGAGACACGGCCCAGACUCCCACGGGAGGCAGCAGUGGGGAAUCUUGCGCAAUGGGCGAAAGCCUGACGCAGCGACGCCGCGUGA
rnacentral:rRNA from 1 species